rnacentral:rRNA from 1 species
UACAGAGGUCUCAAGCGUUGUUCGGAUUCAUUGGGCGUAAAGGGUGCGUAGGUGGCGCCGUAAGUCGGGUGUGAAAUUUCGGAGCUUAACUCCGAAAACUGCAUUCGAUACUGCGGUGCUUGAGGACUGGAGAGGAGACUGGAAUUCAUGGUGUAGCAGUGAAAUGCGUAGAGAUCAUGAGGAAGACCAGUGGCGAAGGCGGGUCUCUGGACAGUUCCUGACACUGAGGCACGAAGGCCAGGGGAGCAAACAGG